UACGUAGGAUCCAAGCGUUGUCCGAAUUUACUGGGUGUAAAGGGUGCGCGGGCGGACUUAUAAGUCAGGGGUGAAAUCUCACAGCUCAACUGUGAAACUGCCUUUGAUACUGUAGGUCUUGAAUCCGGGAGAGGGAUGCGGAAUUCCAGGUGUAGCGGUGAAAUGCGUAGAUAUCUGGAGGAACACCGGCGGUGUAGACGGCUUUCUGGACCGUAGCUGACGCUGAGAACACGAAAGCGUGGGUAGCAAACAGG
rnacentral:rRNA from 1 species